UACGAAGGGGGCUAGCGUUGUUCGGAAUUACUGGGCGUAAAGCGCGUGUAGGCGGGUCUUUUAAGUCAGGGGUGAAAUGCCAGGGCUCAACCUUGGAACUGCCUUUGAUACUGGAGACCUUGAGUCCGGGAGAGGUGAGUGGAAUUGCGAGUGUAGAGGUGAAAUUCGUAGAUAUUCGCAAGAACACCAGUGGCGAAGGCGGCUCACUGGCCCGAUACUGACGCUGAGGCACGAAAGCGUGGGGAGCAAACAGG
rnacentral:rRNA from 1 species